CCUCUCUUCUCUCUUGAAGAUCCAACGCCUAAGCCUUGGGCAUCCUCCAUCUUCCACACCCAAAGGAGUUUGGGUGUCCCCUUUGUUUGCUGGUUUCUAAUUCCUGAUUGCUUCAUAGUCAAGAAAAGAAAAGCAAAAGAAAAAGAGAAGAAGAAGAUCAAGGAAAGGAUCAAAGAGUUGAUUGCGAUCCAAGCUUUGUUCAGAUUCGCAGGCUGAUUUUUCUUAGAAAAAAAAAAUCAAUACCAGAGAGGAUUGUUCCAGUCUGAUCUUAAGUGGAUACCCGUAGAGGCCGGACACUUGCGCGGCUAAGAAAAAACCUACUCUCUUCUAGAUCCAAAUUUGAAAAAAAGAUUUGCAAAACAGAUAUGUGAUUCGAUCACAUAUUCAAUUUUAGCAUAUGUUCAAUUUCAGCAUAUGAAAUAGAUCCUAGUGUUUUAUGUUUUAUGCAUGCAUGAUGUAGAUUAAAAGAUAUUUUAAUCUUUUAUUCUACUGCGUUGUUUAGAAAAAAAAAUUUUAAAAUAUACAUGCAUGCCCCGACAUGGAAAUUCCAAUAGUGGUAUCAGAGCCACGGGUUUCAUAUGCAUGAAAUUGACAUAUAUGUUUUGAAAGAAGUUUCAAAAUCUGAUUUUUUCUUGAUACAUAAAAUGUAUAUAUGAUUGUUUUGAAUCUAAAAUUUAUUUUAGAUUUAAUUUUAGAACAUAUACUUGAUAUGUAAAAGCAUGUAUAGAUC
rnacentral:lncRNA from 1 species